rfam:Camelus ferus unplaced genomic scaffold scaffold16088, whole genome shotgun sequence.
GAGGGUAUAGCUCAGUGAUAGAGCACAUGCUUAGCAUGCAUGAGAUUCUGGGCUCAAUCCCAAGUACCUCCA